rnacentral:misc_RNA from 1 species
UUGAGAAUUCCCCCUGAAGGCAUCUGAAACAACAUAAGAAACAUAAUCAAUAACAAAAAGAGAAGAAACAAUAUUUGUCACAUAUAAAUCAAGCAAUGAUUACCAACCCAAUGGCAGAAUAAAAGGUAUGGUUUAUAAAUUCAUAUAAGGAAUUUUAAGAAAGCAACUGAAAGUAUAUGAACAUGAAUAAUGAGUUUGACCUAUUGAG